rnacentral:lncRNA from 1 species
GGUGUGAUAUUUUAUGGUAUCAGAGCUUAGGUUAUAAUCAUUGGAGAUUAUGAUAUAAAUGAUAUAAAUGAUUAAGAUAUGAUAGAAUAAUAUCAGAGCUUAGGUUUAAGAUCAUUGAGAUUAUAAAGUGAUAUCAAAAUUUUAUGUAUGAUCAAUAGGAUGUGACCGAGUGGAGUAUAAUAGAUAAUAUUAGAGCUUAAGAUUAUGAUCAUUAAGGAUGUGAUAGAAUGAUAUAAAGUUUAGGUUAUGAUUACUAGAGAAUAUGACUUAAGUGGUAUUUGAGCUUAAGGUUAUCAUUAUUCGGGAUUGUGACUUUAGUGAUAUUUGAACUUGAGGCUA